UACGUAGGUGGCAAGCGUUGUCCGGAUUUACUGGGCGUAAAGAGCGCGCAGGCGGUCGAUCAAGUCGCGUGUGAAAGCCCCCGGCUCAACUGGGGAGGGUCACGCGAUACUGAUCGACUCGAAGGCAGGAGAGGGUAGUGGAACUCCCGGUGUAGUGGUGAAAUGCGUAGAUAUCGGGAGGAACACCAGUGGCGAAGGCGACUACCUGGCCUGUUCUUGACGCUGAGGCGCGAAAGCUAGGGGAGCAAACGGG
rnacentral:rRNA from 1 species